AUCCUGGCUCAGGACGAACGUUGGCGGUGCGCUUAAUGCAUGCAAGUCGAGGGAGAAGCAUUUGUUCCGUAAGGUUCAGAUGUGGAAACCGGCGAACGGGUGCGUAACACGUGAGAAACCUGCCCCCUUGACCGGGGUAGGCCGAGGAAACUCGGAUUAAUACCGGAUACUCUCUUUGGACCGCAUGGUCCGCUGAGGAAACAGUCCGCUGCUAGGGGAUGGUCUCGCGGCCUAUCAGGUAGUUGGUGAGGUAACGGCUCACCAAGCCUAAGACGGGUAGCUGGUCUGAGAGGACGAUCAGCCACACUGGAACUGAGACACGGUCCAGACUCCUACGGGAGGCAGCAGCAGGGAAUAUUGCACAAUGGGCGAAAGCCUGAUGCAGCGACACCGCGUGCGGGAUGACGGCCUUAGGGUUGUAAACCGCUUUUAGGAGGGAAGAAAAUGACGGUACCUCCAGAAGAAGCUCCGGCCAACUACGUGCCAGCAGCCGCGGUAAUACGUAGGGAGCAAACGUUGUCCGGAUUUAUUGGGCGUAAAGGGCUCGUAGGCGGUUCAACAAGUCGAUCGUGAAAGCCCGGGGCUCAACCCCGGGAGGCCGGUCGAAACUGUUGUGACUAGAGUUCGGUAGAGGUGAGUGGAAUUCUCGGUGUAGCGGUGGAAUGCGCAGAUAUCGAGAGGAACACCAUUAGCGAAGGC
rnacentral:rRNA from 1 species